CCUAUUUUCUUUCCCUCAUUCAGAACAGAACCUGCACAAGUUUCACGUAAGAACAGAAAGGGAAAAUACAGAAGAGAGAAAAGAGAGAACUCUAGAGAGAGAGAGAGAGCAAGGGGAGCCGCCGCCCAAGCCACCACCACCGCCGUGUAGCGCGCGCGAGAGGAGAACGACAAGGGGGAGAGUUUCGCGAGGAAGAAGGAAGAGAGAGGAACGAGGACAGCAGCGUUCUGGACUUUGUUUUCAUCACCAAAGCUUCUUCUUUUCAUCUAAAUUCAUUCAAAACCCGAGAUGGUCGUGAAGAUAAUGGCGAUGACUCAUUCUUGGGAGUUCAUGCUACGUGACCUGCCAAUACUGGAGGACGACUACACUUUAGAGGAAGAGGAAGAGGCUAAGGAAUAGGGUUUGGGUUGAGAGUCUUUUGUUUUCUGUUGGGGUUGAGAGUUUCCGAAGUGUUGGUAUCGAACAAUUUUAUUGCUUAAAUUCGAAUGAACAAGUUUUGAUGUAAUCUUUAUUUUUAUUCAGGCCUUUGUUUCGUACUC